UACGAAGGGGGCUAGCGUUGCUCGGAAUGACUGGGCGUAAAGGGCGCGUAGGCGGAUGGCACAGUCAGAUGUGAAAUUCCCGGGCUUAACCUGGGGGCUGCAUUUGAUACGUGUUGUCUAGAGUGAGGAAGAGGGUCGUGGAAUUCCCAGUGUAGAGGUGAAAUUCGUAGAUAUUGGGAAGAACACCGGUGGCGAAGGCGGCGACCUGGCCCUUGACUGACGCUGAGGCGCGAAAGCGUGGGGAGCAAACAGG
rnacentral:rRNA from 1 species